rnacentral:rRNA from 1 species
GACGAACGCUGGCGGCGUGCUUAACACAUGCAAGUCGAACGGAAAGGCCCUGCUUGUUUGGGGUGCUCGAGUGGCGAACGGGUGUGUAACACGUGAGUAACCUGCCCUUGACUUUGGGAUAGCUUCAGUUAAUUGGGGCUAAUAUCGGCUAGGAGCUUCUGCUGCAUGUUGUGGGUUUGCAAGUUUCGGCGGUUGGGGAUGGGCUCGCGGCGUGUCAGCUUGUUGGCUGGGUAGUGGCUUACUAAGGCUUCGGCGGGUAGCUGGCCUGAGAGCGGGACCGGCUACAUUGGGGCUGAGUGACGCCCCAGACUCCUAUGGUGGGCAGCAGGGCGGAAUAUUGCAGAAUGGACGAAAGCCUGAUACAGCAACGCCGCGUGCUGGAAAACGGCCUUCGGGGUUGAAACCGCUUUCGCAUAUGAAGAAGCGUGAGUGACAGUAAUGGAUAUAGCAGCACCGGCUAACUACGUG